GCCACCAUUUCUAGAACUGUGGCACCUCUGUGGCUUGGCUGUAUCCACUGUGAACCAGAAAUAACAGCACUCGCGUCAUUGAGCAGCCUUGAGUGCAAAGGGCUGGCCAGGCAAAGGGUAGGCAGCCAGCAGUGUCCCUGUAGUGGGGUCCCGCCUCUGCCUUCGUUCACCAUCGCCUCACUGGGCGCAGAGCCCACGUCCCUGGUGAGCAGCCUGGGUUGGCUCUCGCCUUUGUGACGCCUCCAUUCCCCGGUCAGUGGGUGUCCCAGAGGACAUUGCUGCCUGGGAAUGCAACGGGUGAUCAGAUUUCUACCCUGCUUGGCCCUGAAGGUUCUGGACUGGGGCCUGCAGAGAGGGAAAGUGGCUGUCCUGGUCAUUUGCUCUGAGGAGGUGGCCAGGAGCAUAGCACCUAAUGUAACCCCACACCGUGGACACAUUUACUGGUCCUCAAUGGGGCCGUUGUGGCUGUGGAUUUGAUCUCUGUUGGCCUGCAUGGUGGGCAAGAGAAGAAAGCAGCGUGGGGCCAGACUUGCCCCCUGGGAGCUGGGUGUCUUAGCACCAUGUUGGCCCAGGCAAGGGUUUGCCUCAGCCUUUGGAGUACAGCAUUCUCCUGGUUCCGUGUUGAGAGAAUGGCUUCUGACUCUUCCUUACAGCCCUGGCAAGCAGCAGAGUCUGCCCUGCCUGACCAGCUUGCCUUGUGAAACAGGUGCCCCGGUUGUGGCCGUUGCCCAGGAGGAGAGAAACCAAGGUUACAGAUUCCUAAAUGACAGUCUCAAAGCCACCCACAUGGUUGACCACUGGCAGGGCUGGGAGUGGUAGCCAGGCCAUCUGGCUGUCUAUUCACUCCUUUCUUACAAGGCCACCCAAUGUGAUCAUUUUGGCAGAGGGUGGCCAGCCGGGCGGCCUGCUUAGCCUUGCCUCUCCGGGCAGUGGCGUGUGGUCAGCGAGUGCAGACAGCUGGGAUUACAUUUUAAAAGCAGAGGAGUGUGUGGCUGGCCCCAGCCCAGCCCUCCCCAGCACCAAGCUAUACACCCUCCUGGUGGUUGAAAUGGCCAGCUGAAGAGUCGCUGCUCCAAGGUCCUCUGCCCUGUUAGAGGGAGGACACUGGGGACUCCCAGGGAAGCACAGAAAAGCCAUCACUGGGCCAGUUUUCAACGGGGAAAAUGGUCUCCUGGGACACUCCACCCCUUCAUCCAUUGGCUGGGUCUCCUACCUGUCCACCCUGAGGCAAUAGGAAGGAAGGUGCACUAAUCACUGAGGACUGCUGAUCCAGGCUCUGACUGGUUGGUCUUCACAAUCACACACCUAAGUGUCCCCAAGACACCAGACAGUCGGUGCCAGAAAAAAUAAGGGUCAGUAAGGCAUUCCCAUAGGCAUAGCUGCUGACCCAUGAGGACAGGAACCCUGUUCUCUGGAUUCCCAGCAGGUAGGACAGUGCUGGCAUGCAGAACUGCAGGAGGACAGGCCACAAGGGAGGGAAUGGGUGCCCUCCACUGGGUUUAGAAGACACCCCACUCUGCCAGGGCAUUGUCACAUUAGAGCGUCCCCCCUCCCACCUCCUUCCUGGAGGCCCGUGAGGAAGGUCACCUUCCUGGCAGUGUCACUGCUCUGCAGAGCCUCUUCCUUCUGAGCUUGUCAGCUCCACCAGUGCAGUCCCACAACCGCAGUCUGUCCCACAGGUGUGACAAGCAGACAUUACGAGUGGUAGUGCCCGUGUCACCAUACAUACGCAGGUUUAUUAGCCGACAUCAUCCCCCUUGGUCUCCUUCAUCUGUAAGCUUCAGUAGCUCCCCACGCUGCUUGUCCUUUUGAAGCAGAGCUCCUGCCCUGUCACCCAUAGGAAGGGAACAGUGAGGAGUGAGAUCAUGUGUAGAGUAGGUGCUUGCGAAAGGGCAGGGCCAAGCCAGGAUCUCUGCCAACUCAUGGAUCUGUACGUGAGCCCUUCCACCUUCAUGGAAAAACUGCUUACUCUGGUGUUUAUACAUGACUACCACACACACACACACACACACACACACACACACACAAGAGUCAUAGAAGAAUCCCAGGACCAUAGUGUCUGUACUAGAGUACAAAGGAUCAGAACAACUUUAUUGCCAGCAGCUCCGCGCACAGUAGGCUCCCCCUGCAUGGCAGAUAACUGCAUUGGCAGGACAGGUAGAUCACCCUGCCCUCAAAUCACAGGGAAGAAUGUGAUGAGCAUACAGUGGGUCGCUGCGUAGGGGAAGAGCCCAGGGUUGAGGGCUCAGCACCUUCCAGGGCAAACAGAGAAGCCAAUGUCUGUCUUCUGGAAGCCAUCAGGUACAUGCUCAAAGUCCCCUUGACCUACUUUAUUACUAUGUGACCCGCGGCAGAAAUGGUUUGGGGGCCAGAGAACAGGAAGCCCUUACAGCCAGAGAUGCUCUGUGGAGAUGUUGCAAGGAUGCCCAGAACUCAGGCGGGCAGCCCUACCCCAUCUUGAGCAUGCACUUGGACAGUCCCCUAAACCAGGCAUGUUAGACAGACUGUGGGUCAGGAAGUCGGGGGUGGAGCCUAGGGUUCUGUUUAACCAGCGAGUUCACCUCUCACCUCACUUCACCAGCUGUCCAGAGCCGCUCGGUACAUGCGAGUACAUCUGAGUAUCAGAGCCAUUCUAUAUGUGCUGCCAAUGGCAUCAAGUAUUUGAAAAUGGAUUUCUUUGUCUAUGUGUGUGUACGUGUGUGUGUGUGUGUGUGUGUGGGUGCACACGUGCCAUGGUGUAUGUGUGGAGGUCAGAAGAUAACUUGAGUCAGUCCACUCCUUCCACUAUGUUAUGCCUGGGGAUUGAGCUCAAGUCAUCAGGCUUGGCAAGAAGGACCUGAAGGGCUUUUAACUCAUUGAGCUCUGAGUACAUUUCACACAGCAACCUUACCAAGUAGAUGCUGCCCAUGUCCACAGGCCCAGAGAGAUUCAGGCGCCUCCCCAGUCGCACUACAAUAACUUGAAGCAUCAUGGAAUGCUCUUCUCAUCAGCCAUUCUGUUUCAGGUCUUGCUGUCACCAUGGAGGAGGCCGUGCAUCCCAGAGCCUGUUGAGUGUCCACUUUGCACCAAGCCCUGUUCUGGCUGCAGGGGACACAGCAAGGGACAGAAUAGAUAAGCAUCUUCACUUCCUGGAGUCUACAUUCUAGUUGGAGAGAGACCGGGCCGAUCUUAUAAAUAAAUACCAUGCACAUUG